UACACGCUGUGACUAGCAUAUCAAUAAGCGGAGGAAAAGAAACUAACAAGGAUUCCCCUAGUAACGGCGAGUGAAGCGGGAAGAGCUCAAAUUUGAAAUCUUAAAGGGUUUCCCUUUACGAAUUGUAGUUUAAAGAAGUGGUUUUCUGUUGAGGUUUUGGUAAAGGUUCUUUGGAAUAGGACAUCAUAGAGGGUGAGAAUCCCGUAUUUGACCUUUACUUUCAACUUUGUGAUACACUUUCAAAGAGUCGGAUUGUUUGGGAAUGCAGUCCAAAAUGGGUGGUAAACUUCAUCUAAAGCUAAAUAUUGGCGAGAGACCGAUAGCGAACAAGUACCGUGAGGGAAAGAUGAAAAGAACUUUGAAAAGAGAGUUAAACAGUACGUGAAAUUGUCAAAAGGGAAGCGUUUGACACCAGUGUUGUCUUUCUGAAAAUCAAUUAAAGAACUGUUUAUGCUAAGUUGUUUAGACUUUAUCAGCUAUCUGUUUAGUUUUGAGCUUUUCUUUAAUGCACUUUUCAGUUAACAAGUCAACAUCAAUUUCUUUUGCUGUAAAAAAGCUUGAGGAAGGUGGCUUGAGAUUCGUCUUAAGUGUUUAUAGGCCUCUUGCCUAUGCAGUCGGAGAGAUUGAGGUCUGCAGCGUAGAUCCUUCGGGGCUAAAUGCAUUUGUGCUAAGUUAUAGCAUUUCAUAGACAACUUGUUGACUAUGAUUUGUCUUGUAGCUUACUCGCUUAUGUUAUUUUACCUACGCUUAGGAUGUUGACGCGCGUGUGUGCGUG
rnacentral:rRNA from 1 species